UGUGCUUGCACAGAUGACGACCGGCGCACGGGUGCGUAACGCGUAUAGAACCUACCUUUUACAGGGGAAUAGCCUUUAGAAAUGAAGAUUAAUGCCCCAUAGUAUUGAGUAAUCGCAUGAUUAUUUAAUUAAAGAUUUAUCGGUAAAAGAUGGCUAUGCGUCCUAUUAGUUAGUUGGUAAGGUAAUGGCUUACCAAGACAUCGAUAGGUAGGGGUCCUGAGAGGGAGAUCCCCCACACUGGUACUGAGACACGGACCAGACUCCUACGGGAGGCAGCAGUGAGGAAUAUUGGGCAAUGGAGGAGACUCUGACCCAGCCAUGCCGCGUGCAGGAAGACGGCCCUAUGGGUUGUAAACUGCUUUUAUACAGGAAGAAACACUGGUAUGUAUACCAGCUUGACGGUACUGUAAGAAUAAGGACCGGCUAACUCCGUGCCAGCAGCCGCGGUAAUACGGAGGGUCCGAGCGUUAUCCGGAAUCAUUGGGUUUAAAGGGUCCGCA
rnacentral:rRNA from 1 species